GACGAACGCUGGCGGCGUGCUUAACACAUGCAAGUCGAACGGAGAGGGCCGGCUGCUGGGUGCUGUUCGACUUAGUGGCGGACGGGUGAGUCACGAGUAAUCUGCCCGCCCUUCUGGGAGGGACUCCAGAAGGUAACGACUGCUAAUACCGCAUACGCUUUCAUCAUGGCGUGGAGGGGGGAUGUAAGGUGGUCUCUACUUGUAUGCUAUCACUGAAGCUUGGGAUUGCGUCUGAUUCGUAAGUUGGCGGGGUAAGUGAGCCCCCAGGCGAUGGUCAGUAGCCGGACUGAGUUGAUGGACGGCCACACUGGGACUGAGACACGGCCCAGACUCCUACGGGAGGCAGCCGUAGGGAAUCGUCCGCAAUGGACGAAAGUCUGACGGAGCAACGCCGCGUGAGUGAGGACGGCCUUCGGGUUGGAAAGCUCUGUUAUUCGGUACGAAAGGCCUUCUGGCGAAUAGUGAGAAUGAUUGACGGUACCGGAAUAGAAAGCCACGGCUAACUACGUG
rnacentral:rRNA from 1 species